GCGGGUGUAGCUCAGUUGGUUAGAGCGCUGGCCUGUCACGCCAGAGGUCGCGGGUUCAAGUCCCGUCACUCGCG
rfam:Rhodospirillum photometricum DSM 122 draft genome sequence